rnacentral:rRNA from 1 species
CCUACGGGUGGCAGCAGUGGGGAAUAUUGGACAAUGGGCGAAAGCCUGAUCCAGCCAUGCCGCGUGUGUGAAGAAGGCCUUCGGGUUGUAAAGCACUUUCAGUGGGGAAGAAAGCCUUGGGGCUAAUACCCUCGAGGAAGGACAUCACCCACAGAAGAAGCACCGGCUAACUCCGUGCCAGCAGCCGCGGUAAUACGGAGGGUGCGAGCGUUAAUCGGAAUUACUGGGCGUAAAGCGCGCGUAGGCGGUCUGAUAAGCCGGUUGUGAAAGCCCCGGGCUCAACCUGGGAACGGCAUCCGGAACUGUCAGGCUAGAGUGCAGGAGAGGAAGGUAGAAUUCCCGGUGUAGCGGUGAAAUGCGUAGAGAUCGGGAGGAAUACCAGUGGCCAAGGCGGCCUUCUGGACUGACACUGACGCUGAGGUGCGAAAGCGUGGGUAGCAAACAGGAUUAGAUACCCUUGUAGUC